rnacentral:rRNA from 1 species
AGCGGCGAACGGGUGAGUAACACGUAAGAAUCUACCCUUUAGUGAGGAAUACCCUCGAGAAAUCGAGGUUAAUACUGCAUACGUCCCUUCGGGGAGAAAGAUGGCCUCUUUGCUAUCGCUAAAGGAGGAGCUUGCGUACUAUUAGCUAGUUGGUGGGGUAAAGGCCUACCAAGGCAAUGAUGGUUAACCGGCCUGAGAGGGUGUUCGGUCACACUGGAACUUAGACACGGUCCAGACUCCUACGGGAGGCAGCAGUGAGGAAUCUUGCACAAUGGGCGAAAGCCUGAUGCAGCGACGCCGCGUGGAGGAUGAAGGUUUUCGGAUUGUAAACUCCUGUUAAGUGGGAAGAAAAGUUUGUUCCUAAUACGAACAGAUUAUGACGGUACCAUUAGAGAAAGCACCGGCUAACUUCGUGCCAGCAGCCGCGGUAAUACGAGGGGUGCGAGCGUUAUUCGGAAUCAUUGGGCGUACAGGGCGCGUAGACGGCGCAUUAAGUCAACUGUUAAAUUUCCCGGCCUAACCGGGAGCCAGCAGUAGAUACUGAUGUGCUAGAGGAUGGAAGAGAGAAGUGGAAUUCUCGGAGUAGCGGUAAAAUGCGUAGAUCUCGAGAGGAACACCGAUGGCGAAGGCAGCUUCUUGGUCCAUACCUGACGUUGAGGCGCGAAAGCGUGGGGAGCAAACAGGAUUAGAUACCCUGGUAGUCCACGCCGUAAACGAUGAUCACUAGACGUUAGUCUUGUUUACAAGAUUAGUGUCGUAGCUAACGCGUUAAGUGAUUCGCCUGGGGAGUACGGCCGCAAGGCUGAAACUCAAAGGAAUUGACGGGGGCCCGCACAAGCGGUGGAACAUGUGGUUCAAUUCGA